CUAACGUGAGAUCUGGAGAGUCCAACAUGGGUCCUUAGGCUUCGCAGGCAAGCACCCCAACGACUAAGCCAUCUCUUCAGCCCAGAAUGAGAAUAAUCCUCGAGUCAACCGAGGUUGGUAGGGCUCAAACCUGGAACCAGAUGGUGCGGCCAUGCCUAUCACGCAGGGAGCUCAUGCCUGGGACGCCAUAACACUGCAGCCAGGCCCGAAAGGCAGCAAAGUCCUCCUCUCCACUAUCAGGCCCGUAGCCUUUGCCUCCUGUGGGACAGAGCAACUGUGUAGAGGCUGACGUCCCACUGAAGGUCACGGCCUCCCCAUCCUGCCCUGCUUGCUGCCUGGGAGACUAGGAGGAAGCAAACACUGGCCAAGAGACCUCGUCCAUUAGUGACAAUAGGGUUUGCAGACUCCCAUCCCCCCAGGGCCUGAAGAAGGCAGUGGCCCAGGGUUAUACUGGCCAUCUCAGCAUGCCCAAGCCUUACCCAGAUGAACCACUUCCUUGGGCACUGAGUGACACAGCUCCAGUAGGUCUGGGUUCUGCAACUUGGCCCUGAUCUUCUGGCUCAGGGUCAGCUCUGGG